rnacentral:rRNA from 1 species
AACGAACGCUGGCGGCAUGCCUAACACAUGCAAGUCGAACGAGACCUCCGGGGCUUGUUGCGCUAGGCUGCGUACCGAGGGGUAACCUGCCCGUAGGUUCGGAGUACCUCACCGCGGGAGAUGCCAAGACCGCAGAAUGUCUUCGCGCCUAAGAUCUAUCGCCUUGGGAUGGGCCCGCGUUGGCUUAGCUGGUUGGUAGGGUAAAAGCCUGCCAAGGAGACGAUGCAGAGCUGGUCUGAGAGGGUGCUCCGCCACACUGGGGCUGGGACACGGACCAGACUCGUACGGAAGGCAGCAGUGGGGAAUACUGUACACGGGGGGAAGGCCUGAUGCAGCAAUGCCGCGUGAGUGAUGAAGGCCGUAGUGUUGUAAAGCCAUCUUAGCCGGGAUGAUAAUGACAGUACCGGGAGAAUAAGCACCGGCUAACUCCGUG